rnacentral:rRNA from 1 species
UACGGAGGGUGCAAGCGUUAAUCGGAAUUACUGGGCGUAAAGCGUGCGUAGACGGCUAUCUAAGUCGGGUGUGAAAGCCCCGGGCUCAACCUGGGAAUGGCAUUGGAAACUGUCCAGCUGGAGUGUGGCAGAGGGGGGUGGAAUUCCGCGCGUAGCAGUGAAAUGCGUAGAGAUGCGGAGGAACACCGAUGGCGAAGGCAGCCCCCUGGGCCAACACUGACGCUCAGGCACGAAAGCGUGGGGAGCAAACAGG